rnacentral:rRNA from 1 species
AUGGCCGGCGGGGAGGAGAGGCCGCCGGGGUUGGCGCCAGUGGCUGCGUCAUCGAGUUUCGAAUUCGCCCUCAAUUAUGCGGCGUUUUCCGAUCGAAUUCUGCGACUUGAAAUCCCGGCCGAGGAUUCCGAGGCGCGGUUCGUCGGCGAAGGAUCGCCCUGCGACUCGCCGCGUAGCAUAUUCGAGACGGGGCCCGGCUUGGGAGGUACCUCGGCCGAGUCGGUGCGACCUCGCAAGCGCCGCAGACAAGACGACGAAUCUGUACCUCACAGCUCUGAAGCUGAGUUUGGAUCAACAGACGUAAAUGCUCUAUCCAUCAGUCCUGAACAUGGUGAUGCCACUGAUACACCCUGUCUAAGAGUAAAGCAUAUUCAUGUUAGCUCCUUGUUACUUGCUUCGAAAAGCCCCUACUUCUACUAG